rnacentral:SRP_RNA from 1 species
GAGCAGGCAUAGCUGGGGAGUCAGCCGUUCCCUGUUACCACAAAUCGGCUUUAUGGUGGAGUGAGUCAAGAGGCGGCUUGUUAGUGUAUUGGUAAGCUUAAGCUGUAUCUGUGAAGCCUCGCCCUAUGGGAUGCAUUGUUCUGUGAAUCACCCCAGGUCCGGAAGGAAGCAAGGUUAAGCAAAAUAGUGUAUGCUCUUAGGAUACGGGGUGGAGAAAAGGUUUAAGGACUGCCGGUACAUUGGCAUUCCCACUCUUGAUGUGUCUGCUA